GAUGAAGAACGUAGCGAAAUGCGAUAAGUAGUGUGAAUUGCAGAAUUCAGUGAAUCAUCGAGUCUUUGAACGCACAUUGCGCCCUCUGGUAUUCCGGAGGGCAUGCCUGUCCGAGCGUCAUUGCUGCCCUCAAGCACGGCUUGUGUGUUGGGCCCCGCCCCCCGAUCCCGGGGGGCGGGCCCGAAAGGCAGCGGCGGCACCGCGUCCGGUCCUCGAGCGUAUGGGGCUUUGUCACCCGCUCUGUAGGCCCGGCCGGCGCCUGCCGAUCAACCAAACUUUUUUCCAGGUUGACCUCGGAUCAGGUAGGGAUACCCGCUGAACUUAAGCAUAUCAAUAAGCGGAGGA
rnacentral:misc_RNA from 1 species